GGCGGACGGGUGAGUAAUGCCUAGGAAUCUGCCUGGUAGUGGGGGAUAACGUUCGGAAACGGACGCUAAUACCGCAUACGUCCUACGGGAGAAAGCAGGGGACCUUCGGGCCUUGCGCUAUCAGAUGAGCCUAGGUCGGAUUAGCUAGUUGGUGAGGUAAUGGCUCACCAAGGCGACGAUCCGUAACUGGUCUGAGAGGAUGAUCAGUCACACUGGAACUGAGACACGGUCCAGACUCCUACGGGAGGCAGCAGUGGGGAAUAUUGGACAAUGGGCGAAAGCCUGAUCCAGCCAUGCCGCGUGUGUGAAGAAGGUCUUCGGAUUGUAAAGCACUUUAAGUUGGGAGGAAGGGCAGUUGCCUAAUACGUAACUGUUUUGACGUUACCGACAGAAUAAGCACCGGCUAACUCUGUGCCAGCAGCCGCGGUAAUACAGAGGGUGCAAGCGUUAAUCGGAAUUACUGGGCGUAAAGCGCGCGUAGGUGGUUUGUUAAGUUGGAUGUGAAAUCCCCGGGCUCAACCUGGGAACUGCAUUCAAAACUGACUGACUAGAGUAUGGUAGAGGGUGGUGGAAUUUCCUGUGUAGCGGUGAAAUGCGUAGAUAUAGGAAGGAACACCAGUGGCGAAGGC
rnacentral:rRNA from 1 species